rnacentral:rRNA from 1 species
AAAGCUCGUAGUUGAAUUUCGGGAUCAAUAUUUCGGUCAUGCCGUUGGUAUGCACUGUUAUCAUUGAUUUCUCACCUUCUAAAGAACCGUAAUGCCAUUAAUUUGGUGUUACGGGGAAUUAGGACUGUUACCUUGAAAAAAUUAGAGUGUUUAAAGCAGGCUCACGCUUGAAUACAUUAGCAUGGAAUAAUGAAAUAGGACAUCCGAUUCUAUUUUGUUGGUUUCUAGGAUCGAUGUAAUGAUUAAUAGGGAUAGUUGGGGGCAUUAGUAUUCAAUUGUCAGAGGUGAAAUUCUUGGAUUUAUUGAAGACUAACUACUGCGAAAGCAUUUGCCAAGGAUGUUUUCAUUAAUCAAGAACGAAAGUUAGGGGAUCGAAGACGAUCAGAUACCGUCGUAGUCUUAACCAUAAACUAUGCCGACUAGGGAUCGGAUGAUGUUAAUUUUUUAAUGACUCAUUCGGCACCUA